rnacentral:rRNA from 1 species
AGUUUGAUCCUGGCUCAGAUUGAACGCUGGCGGCAUGCCUUACACAUGCAAGUCGAACGGUAACAGGUCUUCGGAUGCUGACGAGUGGCGAACGGGUGAGUAAUACAUCGGAACGUGCCCGAUCGUGGGGGAUAACGGAGCGAAAGCUUUGCUAAUACCGCAUACGAUCUACGGAUGAAAGCAGGGGACCGCAAGGCCUUGCGCGGACGGAGCGGCCGAUGGCAGAUUAGGUAGUUGGUGGGAUAAAAGCUUACCAAGCCGACGAUCUGUAGCUGGUCUGAGAGGACGACCAGCCACACUGGGACUGAGACACGGCCCAGACUCCUACGGGAGGCAGCAGUGGGGAAUUUUGGACAAUGGGCGAAAGCCUGAUCCAGCCAUGCCGCGUGCAGGAUGAAGGCCUUCGGGUUGUAAAGCUCUUUUAUCCGGGACGAUAAUGACGGUACCGUAAGAAUAAGCCCCGGCUAACUUCGUGCCAGCAGCCGCGGUAA